rnacentral:rRNA from 1 species
AGAAUUGAUCUGGUCAGGAUGAACGCUAGCGACAGGCCUAACACAUGCAAGUCGAGGGGCAGCACGAGGAGCAAUCUGAGGUGGCGACCGGCGCACGGGUGAGUAACACGUAUGCAACCUGCCUGUAAGCGGGGAAUAACCCGUUGAAAGACGGACUAAUACCGCAUAAUACUAAAUUACUGCAUGGUAAUUUAUUUAAACAUUUAUGGCUUACAGAUGGGCAUGCGCAUGAUUAGCUAGUUGGAGAGGUAACGGCUCCCCAAGGCAACGAUCAUUAGGGGUUCUGAGAGGAAGGUCCCCCACACUGGUACUGAGACACGGACCAGACUCCUACGGGAGGCAGCAGUGAGGAAUAUUGGUCAAUGGGCGGGAGCCUGAACCAGCCAAGUCGCGUAGAAGGAAGAAGGAUCUAUGGUUCGUAAACUUCUUUGCAGGGGAAUAAAGUGCAGGACGUGUCCUGUUUUGUAUGUACCCUGAGAAUAAGGAUCGGCUAACUCCGUGCCAGCCGCCGC